AAUUGAGGGUCGUCAGCAUCUGGAUUCAAAUUGUGUCACUUUCAUUGAUGCAAAUAUGUGUAUUUCAUUCCCCUUGAAUUACAGAGAGGUUUUUGUACGAGCACCUAAUGAGUCUGUAUCACUGUGGUGGACUUUCGGUGGAGGAACCAAACUCAACAUUAACUUGGGUGUGGUGCGGCCCACCCUGACCGUCCUCCCCCCCUCCAGUGAAGAGCUGAAGCAGGGCACUGCCACUAUGGUGUGUAUGGCCAGCGGGGGCUUCCCCUCAGCCUGGAGUCUGGGCUGGAAGGUGGGGGGCAGCAGCAGGUCCUCAGGGGUGUCUCACAGCCCGGGGUUCCUGGGGGGGGGCGGCCACUACAGCUGGAGCAGCACCUUGAGCCUCCCUGCAGACCAGUGGAGGAAGGCGGGCUCAGUGAGCUGUGAGGCCAGUCUGGACGGACAGAGCCCUGUCACUCAAACCCUGGACCCUGACCUCUGCUCGGAGUAGAGAGACGACCGGAUGGAGUC